rnacentral:rRNA from 1 species
UACGUAGGGUGCGAGCGUUGUCCGGAAUUACUGGGCGUAAAGAGCUCGUAGGUGGUUUGUCGCGUUGUUCGUGAAAUCUCACGGCUUAACUGUGAGCGUGCGGGCGAUACGGGCAGACUAGAGUACUGCAGGGGAGACUGGAAUUCCUGGUGUAGCGGUGGAAUGCGCAGAUAUCAGGAGGAACACCGGUGGCGAAGGCGGGUCACUGGCUCGUAACUGACGCUCAUGCACGACAGCGUGGGGAUCAAACAGG